CAGUCUGGCAAGAUUUAAAACUUUGUUGACACCUUCUUGGCAAGGUUAUGAAGAAACAGUCACUCACAACAUUUCUACUAGAACGCAUCAAUUAUAUCCACAAGAAGGAUCUACAAGAGUCUUUCUUACUUUAAAACCAGGAGGAUGGUGCAGUGUUGUGAAGAAUAAGAGCAUGUACUUAGGUAUUUGGUUACAAUUAACAGAGAUCCCCAACUCAAAUUUACUUCAACAAUGGGAAAAUUGAUUAUCCUACAUAAGAUGUCUGGAGCUUGGGUGAGCUCCAAGAGGUAUAAUCAACGGUUAUGCCAAAAUGGGCCCAAGUCCUUUCCACCUCUCCAUUCAGCCAUCGUUCAUGUGUUGGCUUUAUUCCCAGGCUGAUUCCCUUCAUGGGAACAAAAAUGCUACAGUGGUUUUUGUCAUAAA